rnacentral:rRNA from 1 species
UGGGGUAACCCGCAAGGGAGCCAGCCGCCGAAGGUGGGGUAGAUGAUUGGGGUGAAGUCGUAACAAGGUAGCCGUAUCGGAAGGUGCGGCUGGAUCACCUCCUUUCUAUGGAGA